UACGUAGGGGCUAGCGUUAUCCGGAAUUACUGGGCGUAAAGGGUGCGUAGGUGGUUUCUUAAGUCAGAGGUGAAAGGCUACGGCUCAACCGUAGUAAGCUCUUGAAACUGUAAGACUUGAGUGCAGGAGGGAGAGUGGAAUUCCUAGUGUAGCGGUGAAAUGCGUAGAUAUUAGGAGGAACACCAGUUGCGAAGGCGGCUCUCUGGACUGUAACUGACGCUGAGGCACGAAAGCGUGGGGAGCAAACAGGAUUAGAUACCCUGGUAGUCCCUGA
rnacentral:rRNA from 1 species